UUGGAGGGCAAGUCUGGUGCCAGCAGCCGCGGUAAUUCCAGCUCCAAUAGCGUAUAUUAAAGUUGCUGCAGUUAAAAAGCUCGUAGUUGGAUUUCGGGACCAUCAUGUCGGUCGUGCCUCGGUACGUACUGGUAUUGUUGGUUUCUCCCUUCUGACGAACCAUGAUGUCAUUUAUUUGGUGUUGUGGGGAAUCAGGACUGUUACUUUGAAAAAAUUAGAGUGUUUAAAGCAGGCUCACGCUUGAAUACAUUAGCAUGGAAUAAUGAAAUAGGACGUUUGAUUCUAUUUUGUUGGUUUCUAGGAUCGACGUAAUGAUUAAUAGGGAUAGUUGGGGGCAUUAGUAUUCAAUUGUCAGAGGUGAAAUUCUUGGAUUUAUUGAAGACUAACUACUGCGAAAGCAUUUGCCAAGGAUGUUUUCAUUAAUCAAGAACGAAAGUUAGGGGAUCGAAGACGAUCAGAUACCGUCGUAGUCUUAACCAUAAACUAUGCCGACUAGGGAUCGGAUGAUGUUAAUUUUUUAAUGACUCGUUCGGCGCCUUACGGGAAAC
rnacentral:rRNA from 1 species